AUACCCGCAGCAUCGCGCGGGCUAUCUUGCUAGUAUAUAUAAAAGUAAAAUGAGAAUGGUACUGUUCAAUGAACAGUAAUACAGUGCCGUGACUCUUUUGCCCUUCCAUUCUCUGCCUUUUUACUUGAGUACCUCAGACAGGUGUUCGUCUCCUGUGGGACUCCGCGUGGCUCUGUUUCUUUGCUGCACGAACAGAGAGCAUAGAGAGUUCAAGAACGAUCGAGAGAGAGAGAGAGAGAGGUGAUAUUCAGAGGCUUUGCGUCUUUGCUCCAGAGAAGUACAGAGAGGUGAAGAACAACAAUAGGGAGAGAAGACCCAUUUCAAUUCGAUCCGUUUCGACUUCCGCUAAGCUACGCUCUCUUUGGUUAUGUUUUCAGUCAUGCAUCAAAGUUGCAAUGGACUUUGUCUCACCUGAAAAUAUCGGCGAGUGCUUUCACUUGACAGAAGCAUUCCGCACACUUCCGGAAAAUCAUAGGGCUAAAGCGGACAAAUUGGAGGAACUGGGGAGUUUGGUUUCUCUGAAAUGGCAUUGGCUGAAUCAUACGCUGAACAAAUGGAUUUACCAGAGUUAGGUUAUGAAUAUCGAGCCAUCGUUGGGAUACCUUCAGAGCAGUUUAAACAUCUUAUCAUACAUUUGCACUACUUUGAGGAUCUGGUACUUACAUCUGCACUACAUUCAAUUUGGAGUUUAUAAUAUUUCCAGGUAAGUUUUUCUAAGUAAAGAGACCAAAGGUUAAAACACUAUUGCAGAUGAUGCUUUACACUUGAUCUCUGAACUUUAGGUAAGUUCAAUGUUGACAAGCUAUUAACUGAUGCAAUUUUAUUUGUAUAUCUUUUCACACUUUCCUCUUUAUUAGUAGCACAGGGGAAAACUGUGAAUUUUUCAAAAUUUUGUAACAUUGUUAAAACACAAUUGCAUCCUUUCAAAAAAAAAAAAAAAAAAAAAACACUCACACACAAUUGCAUAUGAUGGUUUACACUUGAUAUCUCAACUUGAGGUAAGUUCAAUGCUGACAAGCGUUUAACAGGUGCAAUUUUCUGUAUAUAUCUAUUCAUAACUUUGCUCUUUGUGGUUUGAGUACUGUAUGUCUCUAUGCUGGAAAUAUAAAAGCAGAGGCAAGGGUUUUUGGGGGGUCAGGGUUGAGCUUAUAUCUACCCCAGUUUCUUAGCUGUGUUGCUUCACAGGUUUGUCCCACAUUUUUCAUUCUUUGGU